rnacentral:rRNA from 1 species
UACGUAUGGGGCAAGCGUUAUCCGGAUUUACUGGGUGUAAAGGGAGCGUAGGCGGCAGGGCAAGCCUGAUGUGAAAGCCCGGGGCUCAACCCCGGGACUGCAUUGGGAACUGCCCUGCUGGAGUGCCGGAGGGGCAGGCGGAAUUCCUAGUGUAGCGGUGAAAUGCGUAGAUAUUCGGAGGAACACCGGUGGCGAAGGCGGCCAACUGGGCUUUAACUGACGUUGAGGCCCGAAAGCGUGGGGAGCAAACAGG